CCGCGAAAAAGGCAAGGUGUCUGAAAAGAUGCUCACGCAAAACUACCGGCCUAAAGGGAAACCUAUGGCGGCGGAGCUACCACG
rnacentral:ncRNA from 1 species